AGUUUCUGUCAUUCAUGAUCUACUGGACGUGGAUUGCAGGCUAAAGGGCUUCAAGGCUGAACUCACAGAGGAAGGAAUGAUGUCUUCCUGUGUUUGAGGGUCAGGUUUUGACUCUGCUGUCAGAGUUCCUCAGAUCUGCGGUGACGGUGGAACAUGCAGACAGUGUGGAACUUGAUCCUGCUGCUGUGUAGACUAAGGCUUCAAAGGAUUCUGUCAAGGCUGCUCAGAAUGAGAUUUGGGACGCUGAAAUGCUGUAACAGGAAACACAGACAUGAACAGAGCAGCUGGAGGCUGAACAUGUUUACCUGCUAGUCGGAUAAAAGAAACCCAACAUCUGCAGGGCGGAGCCAUUCAACCACAAGAAACGACAAGCAGGACUCUUGCUGAAGACUUCAUAAAACCUGUUUAGGUGUUUAGGGUCAGUUUUGAGGUUUGAUUUGUUCUUUUUCCUUUUGUUUUAGCUAUACAGUACAUUAAAAUUCAACCAAACAGGUCACAUUUCUGAUGUGAAGUUGUCGUUUGACUUUGGGCUGAACAGGAACCACGUUGAUUUUGUAAUGAACCACCUCGUGGUUACACAUUGAAGAACAAUUCAGUGUAAACCUGUCAUUUUCUCAAUCUUCAUUUCUGUUCUUAGAUACAUUCAUUAGCUGUUUUUUUAAAGAAUGACCCCGUCUGUUUGAAAUGUCAAAUUUUGGCAGGAACAGGCAGAAAGAGGAGCUGAUGAUGAUGACGAUGAUGUGGUCAGGUCAAUAUGCAAGAGACCAAUCAUUAACUAAUAAUUAAAUAAUAAACUUGGCCAUAGCAACAGCCAUGAAGACACAAAAAGCUGUCAAAGCAGAUGACCUGACAAAGAAGAAAACCAGACACUAGAACAGACCAACUGAAAACCAGCUGUGAAUGACUGGAAACCUAAAUCUGCUGUGACGGACAGUGAGACUCAAGAACAGAAUGAAAAGAUCACUGAGAAAACAAACCAAACCAGACAAUCCUCACUGUUCUGCAUGUUGGUAUCUCUGAUUUUUUUUUUUUGAGAACAAAAGAUCAACAGUUUCACAAAUCAGUAAAUGUCAGAUUUUUUCUUCUUGGAUAUCAGUUGUAAAGAAGUUUUCUGUUUGCAUGUCAUACUCUGAAUAGAAAGACGGCUGCAUCCUCAGGUUCUGGCCACACUCAAGGCUAAAGUGGAGCAGACCCAAAGCAAUGAUGGAAGCGAUGCAGGUUCAGAUAGAGACCCUGUAAACAACCAGAGGAGUCCUGCUGGCCACAAUACAGGGGAACUUCCAGAAGGGCAGCACUAAACCAAAACUAUAACAAGACUAAAAACAUUUUUGCUUUAAAUAAUAAAAAAAAAUGAAAAUGAGCAGGAUCAGUCCUGCAGUGUGGGAUGAUGGUUAAUGGUCUGUGUGAUGCUUUGCUAUAAGCGUGCUGCAGUUUAAUCCAUUUCCCUCCGGAUUGUUCCUUCAUGCUCGUGCUCUUUGAAUGCUUCAUCCUAAACUUUCUGGUCGAUUCAGCAAAGGAAUGAAGCUCCAGAACAUGGCGACCAGGAGUCUCCCGUCUGAACAGAACCUUCAUGAGCUGCACCCUCUAGAGCUGUAAGAUCCCCGUUCUGUCGUCUUCAGGACGUUUGAAGGACGCACGGACCUUUUUAUUUGGAUUUUCUUCAAGAUGACGUUAUAAAUGACACAGAAAUGUUUUUCAUAAGGAAUAGAAAUGUUUACUUUUUCCUUCCUCUUAGUAAAAAUAAAAAAAGAAAGAGAACCAUCAGGAUGAGGAUUGUCUAUGACUAACCCUGAUGAGUUACCUUAAUGAAGCCAUGCUUUGGGCUGGGGCUUAGCGCCUGGUUCACACUGGUCUGUUUUGUGUUAGAGCUGCGAGCGAUCUGCGUCGAGUCUGACAGGAAGUUACAUCAAGAUACAUGAGAA